GCAGUCGNACGGCAGCGCGGGGCAACCUGGCGGCGAGUGGCGAACGGGUGAGUAAUNUNUCGGAACGUGCCCUGGAGUGGGGGAUAACGCAGCGAAAGUUGCGCUAAUACCGCAUACGAUCUAAGGAUGAAAGCGGGGGAUUCGCAAGAACCUCGUGCUCCUGGAGCGGCCGAUAUCUGAUUAGCUAGUUGGUGGGGUAAAGGCCUACCAAGGCAUCGAUCAGUAGCUGGUCUGAGAGGACGACCAGCCACACUGGAACUGAGACACGGUCCAGACUCCUACGGGAGGCAGCAGUGGGGAAUUUUGGACAAUGGGCGAAAGCCUGAUCCAGCAAUGCCGCGUGAGUGAAGAAGGCCUUCGGGUUGUAAAGCUCUUUUGUCAGGGAAGAAACGGUGCGGGCUAAUAUCCCGCACUAAUGACGGUACCUGAAGAAUAAGCACCGGCUAACUACGUGCCAGCAGCCGCGGUAAUACGUAGGGUGCAAGCGUUAAUCGGAAUUACUGGGCGUAAAGCGUGCGCAGGCGGUUUUGUAAGUCUGUCGUGAAAUCCCCGGGCUCAACCUGGGAAUUGCGAUGGAGACUGCAAGGCUAGAAUCUGGCAGAGGGGGGUAGAAUUCCACGUGUAGCAGUGAAAUGCGUAGAGAUGUGGAGGAACACCGAUGGCGAAGGCAGCCCCCUGGGUCAAGAUUGACGCUCAUGCACGAAAGCGUGGGGAGCAAACAGGAUUAGAUACCCUGGUAGUCCACGCCCUAAACGAUGUCUACUAGUUGUCGGGUUUUAAUUAACUUGGUAACGCAGCUAACGCGUGAAGUAGACCGCCUGGGGAGUACGGUCGCAAGAUUAAAACUCAAAGGAAUUGACGGGGACCCGCACAAGCNGNGGAUGAUGUGGAUUAAUUCGAUGCANCGCGAAAAACCUUACCUACCCUUGACAUGUACNGGAAGCCACGAGAGAUCGAAGGUGUGCUCGAANANAG
rnacentral:rRNA from 1 species